GGGACUGUAGGGUAGCUUGGUCCAUCCUGCGUGGCUGGGGGUCACGCGACCUGAGUUCAAAUCUCAGCAGUCCCACCA
rnacentral:tRNA from 1 species